GUCCCGUCUGUUUGGAUAAAUAUAGAGGCGCUGAAAGGUUUCCCUAAUAGUUCCUGGUGAAUCAAAGCAGAACCAUAAAGGUUGCUGGACUGCAUGAUGGCCUUACCCCUGAGCAGUCAUCCUGUUAAAGGAGGAACCAGUUAGAAGCUGUUUUCAAAGUAGCUGAGCAGAUUUCACCUCAACAGACAAAGCCGAUGGCAGAAGAUCUUUGGAGAAGAACUUCAGGCCGUGGACUGAAAAGAUCAAAGCAGCUCGUGCUAUUUCUGCUUCCAUUUUGAUGGCAAGAAGAAGAAAAAGAAGAAGAAGAAGACUUCAGCGAAGUGGCGUUCAUGGUCUCAGUGGACAGUCAUGGUCACACACUGCAUGUGGUUUUAAAAGCAACAUGUCUGUUCACCACAACAAUGGAGAUGUGUAAUAUUAGUGCAGCUACAGUUUGUUCUUGAACAUCAGUUCUGUUUUCUACUUUGACCACUUAGACCAAAAAAGUGUUGUUUUCAGAUUCUUUCUUUUAAAUCUAUAAAGCACCUGCUCAUAUUUUAUUACAAUUAGUUUCACAUAAAUAGUAGUGUUUCCUUUAUGAUCUUUUAAUGCUUACACUACACUGUACACGUCUACAUUAGAGACAUUUCUGUUACCUAUGUAUGAGACUGGGCUGCUUGACUACAAUUUGGAAAUUGGUGCUAUUGUUUGUUUUUUAAUAUGAUGGACUGAACACAGGAGGUAUCUGACUAAGCAAAGAUUAAUCUGAGCCCAUUUCUACCUGUCUCUACUCUUUCAACUGUAACUGUCAGGAUAUAUAUUUA